UACAGAGGGUGCAAGCGUUAAUCGGAAUUACUGGGCGUAAAGCGUGCGUAGACGGUUAUGUAAGUCGGGUGUGAAAGCCCCGGGCUCAACCUGGGAAUGCCAUUCGAGACUGCAUAGCUAGGGUGCGGAAGAGGGAAGCGGAAUUUCCGGUGUAGCGGUGAAAUGCGUAGAUAUCGGAAGGAACACCAGUGGCGAAAGCGGCUUCCUGGACCAGAACUGACGAUCAGGCUCGAAAGCGUGGGGAGCAAACAGG
rnacentral:rRNA from 1 species